rnacentral:rRNA from 1 species
GACGAAGGGGGCUAGCGUUGCUCGGAAUCACUGGGCGUAAAGGGUGCGUAGGCGGGUUUUUAAGUCAGGGGUGAAAUCCUGGAGCUCAACUCCAGAACUGCCUUUGAUACUGAAGAUCUUGAGUCCGGGAGAGGUGAGUGGAACUGCGAGUGUAGAGGUGAAAUUCGUAGAUAUUCGCAAGAACACCAGUGGCGAAGGCGGCUCGCUGGGCAGUGGCUGACGCUGAAGCGCGACAGCGUGGGGGAGCAAACAGG